rnacentral:rRNA from 1 species
GGGUGGUAAAUUUCAUCUAAAGCUAAAUACUGGUCGGAGACCGAUAGCGCACAAGUAGAGUGAUCGAAAGAUGAAAAGCACUUUGAAAAGAGAGUUAAACAGCAUGUGAAAUUGUUGAAAGGGAAGCGCUUGCGACCAGAGUCGGCCGCGGGGGCUCAGCGGGCACUUGUUGCCCGUGCACUCCCCCGUGGUCGGGCCAGCGUCGGUUUCGACGGCCGGUCAAAGGCCCCCGGAAUGUGUCGCCUCUCGGGGCGUCUUAUAGCCGGGGGUGCAAUGCGGCCAGUCGGGACCGAGGAACGCGCUCCGGCACGGACGCUGGCUUAAUGGUUGUAAGCGACCCGUCUUGAAACACGGAC